AUUGAACGCUGGCGGCAGGCCUAACACAUGCACGUCGAACGAGUGGCGGACGGGUGAGUAAUGUCUGGGAAACUGCCCGAUGGAGGGGGAUCACUACUGGCAACGGUAGCUAAUACCGCAUACUAUCGGAUGUGCCCAUAUGGGAUUAGCUAGUAGGGGGGGUAACGGCUCACCUAGGCGAUGAUCCCUAGCUGGUCUGAGAGGAUGACCAGCACCACUGGACCGUGGCCACGCUCCAAACUCCUAGGGGAGGCAGCGUUGGGGAAUAUUGCACAAUGGGCGCAAGCCUGAUGCAGCCAUGCCGCGUGUAUGAAGAGGGCCUUCGGGUUGUAGGGUACUUUCAGCGAGGAGGCGUUACCCGCAGAAGAAGCACCGGCUAACUCCGUGCCAGCAGCCGCGGUAAUAC
rnacentral:rRNA from 1 species